rnacentral:rRNA from 1 species
GACGAACGCUGGCGGCGUGCUUAACACAUGCAAGUCGAACGGAAAGGCCUCUUUCGGGGGGUACUCGAGUGGCGAACGGGUGAGUAACACGUGAGUAACCUGCCCUUGACUUUGGGAUAACUUCAGGAAACUGGGGCUAAUACCGGAUAGGAGCUCCUGCUGCAUGGUGGGGGUUGGAAAGUUUCGGCGGUUGGGGAUGGACUCGCGGCUUAUCAGCUUGUUGGUGGGGUAGUGGCUUACCAAGGCUUUGACGGGUAGCCGGCCUGGGAGGGUGACCGGCCACAUUGGGACUGAGAUACAGCCCAGACGCCUACGAGAGGCAGAGGUGGAGAAGAUUGCACAAGAGGUGGAAGCCGGAUGCAGCAACGCCGUGGGCGAGAUGACGGCCUUCGGGUUGUAAACCGCUUUCGCUCAUGACGAAGCUUUGUGUGACGGUAGUGGGUAAAGAAGCACCGGCUAACUACGUG